UAUCCUUCUCAGCAUUCUGUCUAAGAUCGAGUAUAGUAUCUGUUCUUAUCAGUUUACUAUCUGAUACAUCCUCUAUCCCUGAUACUCUUGUGUGAAUAAUGAACUCAAUUCUUUUUAAGGGGAUGACUA
ensembl:snRNA U2 U2 spliceosomal RNA